AACGAACGCUGGCGGCAUGCCUAACACAUGCAAGUCGAACGAGACCUUCGGGUCUAGUGGCGCACGGGUGCGUAACGCGUGGGAACCUGCCCUUAGGUUCGGAAUAACUCCCCGAAAGGGGUGCCAAUACCGGAUAAUGUCUUCGGACCAAAGAUUUAUCGCCUUUGGAUGGGCCCGCGUUGGAUUAGCUAGUUGGUAGGGUAAAAGCCUACCAAGGCGACGAUCCAUAGCUGGUCUGAGAGGAUGAUCAGCCACACUGGGACUGAGACACGGCCCAGACUCCUCGGGAGAGGAGGGGGGGGGAAUAUAGAAAAGGGGCGGAGGGCAAGAACCAGCAAGGCCGGGAGAGUGAUGAAGGCAGGGGGGUAAAAAGGCUUUUUAACAGGGGUGAAGAAUGACGGUACGGGAAGAAGAAGCGCCGGCUAACUCCGUG
rnacentral:rRNA from 1 species